UACGUAGGUGGCGAGCGUUGUCCGGAAUCACUGGGCGUAAAGGGCGCGUAGGCGGCUAUUCAAGUCGCAAGUGAAAUACCAGGGCUCAACCCUGGGGGGUCUUGCGAAACUGAGUGGCUUGAGUGCAGUAGAGGAAAGCGGAAUUCCUGGUGUAGCGGUAAAAUGCGUAGAGAUCAGGAGGAACACCGGUGGCGAAGGCGGCUUUCUGGGCUGCAACUGACGCUGAGGCGCGAAAGCGUGGGGAGCAAACAGG
rnacentral:rRNA from 1 species